UACGUAGGGUGCGAGCGUUGUCCGGAAUUAUUGGGCGUAAAGGGCUCGUAGGCGGUCUGUCGCGUCGGGAGUGAAAACUCAGGGCUUAACCCUGAGCCUGCUCCCGAUACGGGCAGACUAGAGGUAUGCAGGGGAGAACGGAAUUCCUGGUGUAGCGGUGAAAUGCGCAGAUAUCAGGAGGAACACCGGUGGCGAAGGCGGGUCUCUGGGCCGAUACUGACGCUGAGGAGCGAAAGCGUGGGGAGCGAACAGG
rnacentral:rRNA from 1 species